UAUGAGCAUGCAGCAUUCUUCUGUGCUGUCACCAACAGCUGGUGUGGACAAAUAAACAAUGGAAACACAUCUGAUUUGAACACAGACACAACUGUUGAUCCUGUUGUUUGUGGAAUGGCUGCUGUUCUGGGACUAAGUGUGGUGGUCAUAUUUUACUUGUUAUAUUUACAUAGCAAGGAGAACAGCAUUGGAGAUGGGUGGAAUUCUCUGGGACAGACAUCUUCGAUGACAGCAUUGUCAGCUCAGGUGCAUAUGAAUGACUGGAUCACCACAACGGUGGUUUAUAACAUCAAGACCUUUAAGCAAUGAUUCAAUGAGC